AUUGAACGCUGGCGGCAUGCUUUACACAUGCAAGUCGAACGGCAGCGGGGAGGAGCUUGCUUCUCUGCCGGCGAGUGGCGAACGGGUGAGUAAUACAUCGGAACGUGUCGAGAAGAGGGGGAUAACCACCCGAAAGGGUGGCUAAUACCGCAUAAAUUCUGAGGAAGAAAGCUGGGGACCUAGGAAUAGGCCUAGCGCUUUUUGAGCGGCCGAUGUCGGAUUAGCUAGUUGGUGAGGUAAAGGCUCACCAAGGCGAAGAUCUGUAGCGGGUCUGAGAGGAUGAUCCGCCACACUGGGACUGAGACACGGCCCAGACUCCUACGGGAGGCAGCAGUGGGGAAUUUUGGACAAUGGGGGCAACCCUGAUCCAGCCAUGCCGCGUGUAUGAAGAAGGCUUUAGGGUUGUAAAGUACUUUUGUUAGGGAAGAAAAGUCAGCUGUGAAUAAUGGCUGAUACUGACGGUACCUAAAGAAUAAGCACCGGCUAACUACGUG
rnacentral:rRNA from 1 species